CGAACCGUGCGAACGUUAUUCGGAAUCACUGGGCUUAAAGGGAGCGUAGGCGGGCUAUCAAGUCUGGGGUGAAAUCCCGCGGCUCAACCGCGGAACUGCCUCAGAUACUGACGGCCUCGAGGGAGAUAGGGGCAUGCGGAACUGUAGGUGGAGCGGUGAAAUGCGUUGAUAUCUACAGGAACUCCGGUGGCGAAAGCGGCGUGCUGGAUCUCUUCUGACGCUGAGGCUCGAAAGCUAGGGGAGCAAACGGGAUUAGAUACCCCGGUAGUCCUAGCCCUAAACGAUGGGUACUAGAUAGUAGACUAGACAUGGGUUUACUGUCGAAGCUAAAGUGCUAAGUACCCCGCCUGGGGAGUAUGGUCGCAAGGCUG
rnacentral:rRNA from 1 species